AUUGAACGCUGGCGGCAUGCCUAACACAUGCAAGUCGAACGGCAGCACGGCAGUAGCAAUACUGUGGGUGGCGAGUGGCGGACGGGUGAGGAAUACGUCGGAAUCUGCCCAGUCUGGGGGAUAACUAGCCGAAAGGUUAGCUAAUACCGCAUACGACCGAGAGGUGAAAGCGGGGGACCGCAAGGCCUCGCGCGAUUGGAUGAGCCGACGUCGGAUUAGCUAGUUGGUGGGGUAAAGGCCCACCAAGGCGACGAUCCGUAGCUGGUCUGAGAGGAUGAUCAGCCACACUGGAACUGAGACACGGUCCAGACUCCUACGGGAGGCAGCAGUGGGGAAUAUUGGACAAUGGGCGCAAGCCUGAUCCAGCAAUGCCGCGUGUGUGAAGAAGGCCUUCGGGUUGUAAAGCACUUUUAUCAGGAACGAAAAGCGUUGGAUUAAUACUCUGACGUGCUGACGGUACCUGAGGAAUAAGCACCGGCUAACUUCG
rnacentral:rRNA from 1 species